GUUUGUUUUAUGUCUUGAUUUUUGGGCUGCAAGGCAUGUGAGAUCUUAGCCUCCUGACCAGGGAUUAAGCCCGCACCCCCUGCAUUAGAAGGUGACGUCUUAACCACUGGACUGCCAAGGAAGUCCCUUCCAUUUAUUAUUUAGAUUGCCCUUCACACCAAUCACUGACCUCAGCCAACCUGUCCAGCUUCCUUUCCAUCCCUUCCCCUGACGUUCCAUCUGGCACCUACAUUGCCAUGGAUUCACCAUCUCCCUUGCCAGUACGCACACUGGGUCCUAUGAUGGAUCUCCCUUCAAGGCCCAGUUCAUGUCACUUCCCUUGAGAAACUGGUUUAGGCUCCUCAGGUCUCAUCACUCAGGCAGAAGCUUCUUCCUGGGGUUAGCAUUUUGAAUAUGCUGCCAUAAUUAGUAGCUAAUUCAUACCUUUGUCUCUCCUGCUAGAUUUUGAGCUCCUUCAGUCAAGACGUGUUUUACGUCCCCCACGCCUUCUUCUGACCUAGCAUAGCACUUGUUAUAUAGGAGGUACUCAGUUGAUGUACUUGAUGAUGUGAUUUACAGGUGGCUGAAAUGGUGUCCAAUGAGUUGCCACAUGCAGCUGCAACAUGCAGCCAGACACUCUACCAGGUCACAGCUGCAAAGGGUCAGGUGUGCACUCUUUUGGCCUGAUUCUUGGGCUCCAGUCACAGCAACUCCUUGCCUUUCUUUGUGGUCUUACUGUGGUCCUCUUUACCCUCUAUUUUCCUAAUGAUGAAGCUAAUCUUAAAAGCCUAGAUGCCUGCUUUAAAAGUUAAUUUUUAAUUAUCAUGAUUUAAUUUUUUGAAAUCUCAUUUUUUUAAUCUGGCAAAAAAAUGUAAAUAUCAAUAUGUUUAUCAUGCUAAAAAAUGUGUAGGUUUUUAGGAAAUAAGAAUAUUUACAGUCUAUGAAAAACAUCUCUGUGUGUAUACAUGCUAUGCUAUGCUAAGUCACUUCAGUCGUGUCCGACUCUGUGUGACCCCAUAGACGGCAGCCCACCAGGCUCCCCCAUCCCUGGGAUUCUCCAGGCAAGAACACCGGAGUGGGCUGCCAUUUCCUUCUCCAAUGCAUGAAAGUGAAAAGUGAAAGUGAAGUCGCUCAGUCGUGUCCGACUCUUAGCGACCCCAUGGACUGCAAGCCUACCAGGCUCCUCCGUCCAUGGGAUUUUCCAGGCAAGAAUGCUGGGGUGGGUUGCCAUUUCUUCCUCCAGGGGAUCUUCCCGACCCAAGGAUUGAACCCUAGUCUCCUACAUUGGCAGGCAGAUUCUUUACCACUGAACUACCUGGGAAGCCCUAUGUAUAUGUACUUACAUAUUUUAAAUACGGUUUCUACAGUCGGUUUCUGUGUUCAAAUUGAGUUUCUAGCUGAAAUUUGAAGUUUCACUUUUACAGUCUGAAAGCAAAUUUGAACCAUUCAUAGAAAACCUAGAGCUGAAAACAUUUUUUUUUUGCUUUUUAAGUUUGUGCUUGUUGUUAUGCAUGCAGGCAUUCCUCCCUUCUGCAGAUAUUUAUUGAAUCUAGGGCUGGGGACAUAAAGUAAAUAAGACAAUCAGUUCAGUUCAGUUUAGUCACUCAGUUGUGUCCGACUCUUUGAGACCCCAUGGACUGCAGCACACCAGGCCUCCCUGUCCAUCACCAACUCCCAGAGUUUCUAUCCCUAAAAGCUGGUAGGGGCAUAGCAGGAGCUGGAGUGGGGAGUAAGGGACAAAUGUGAGGAACCUGUAGACCACAGGAAAGAGUUACUUCUUUUCCUGCCACCUGCUGGGAACCACUUAAAAGUUUUAAAGCAGGACUGAGACACAGUUCUGUCUCUACCUGUACUUUAAAAGGUUUUUCUCAUUCUUUGAGAAAAAUGGAGUAGUGGGAACAUAAGCAAAUAAGAUAAUUGCUAAAGGCUAUGGCAGUCAUCAGUGAGACAGUGAGCGCUGCAACUAUGGCAGUGGAUUAGGGUGGAAAGAAGAGGCAUUCAGUAAAUACGAGGUAAAAGCAAUAAUACGGGGGACUUCCCUGGUGGUCCAGGGCCUAAGACACUUCUCCCAAUGCAGGGGGACCUGGGUUCGAUCCCUGCUCAGGGAACUAGAUCCUGUAUGCCCCAACUAAGAGUCUGCAUGCCCCAAUUGAAGAUCUCACAUGCUGCGAAGAUUAAAGGUCUCAUGUACCUCAACUAACACCCUGCACAUCCAAAUAAAAUAUUUUCUUUGAAAGCAAUAAAGUGAAAGUCGCUCAGUCGUGUCCAACUCUUUGCGAUCCCAUAGUCUAUACAGUCCCUGGAAUUCUCUAGGCCAGAAUACUGGAGUAGGUAGCCUUUCCCUUCUCCAGGGGAUCUUCCC
ensembl:lncRNA